rnacentral:rRNA from 1 species
UACGUAGGGGGCGAGCGUUGUCCGGAUUUAUUGGGCGUAAAGAGCUCGUAGGCGGUUCGAUAAGUCGGACGUGAAAUCUCCACGCUCAACGUGGAGGGGCCGUUCGAUACUGUCGUGACUCGAGUCCGGUAGGGGAGUGUGGAAUUCCCGGUGUAGCGGUGAAAUGCGCAGAGAUCGGGAGGAACACCCGUAGCGAAGGCGGCACUCUGGGCCGCAACUGACGCUGAGGAGCGAAAGCAUGGGGAGCGAACAGG